GGUGUUAGCUGUUGUGCUAUUGAGAGGUUUUCCUUCCUAAAUUCAGCCAUUGACGCUAUGAAGUUGCACUUAGGGUGAUUACGCGGGUUGCUGACAUAGUAUCCAGUGCUCGUGUUGUUUGUGAGCUCUGAUAUGACUUUCUGGAGGUUGUGAGUGACUUUUUCAGCGCGAUUUAUGCUAGCGCUGGAUAUGUUACGUGGCUUACGUCGCUAAUGCUAACUAUUUUGAAUUUCAAGAGCAGAGAUGCAAAAAGAACAAUCUGAAGACGCCGUAGCCCCUCUCUUCUGUAGGCAAACAAAUGCCGGAAAGCCACCCACUGGAUCAUGUCCUCCUUUACGCCCUCAUCCCAUCCGUCACACUGGUGCCGUGACCCUUUGCAUCUUCAGAUCAGCUCCAUGCUGUCGUUGUGGCUGCUGCCGCGGAUCCAAACUGGAUACAACAAAAUCCUUCCCUUGAUCCCAUCUCAGUUUCACGCUCCAACAUCAUAUGGGGUCCGCACAUACACAGCUUCUUAUUUAUUGAUUUCCACCCUGACCUUAGUGAAUGAAUGAGGCAAAACGCUGCGUACGUAGGAGCACCCCUUUUGAGUGUAGGCAGUGUUUAAUGCAAAUCAGGACUCAUUCAGUAUGUUUACAUGCACAGCUUAAUCGAGCUAUGCUGAAAAUUCAUCAGCUAUAACAGCUCUAAUAGCCUAUUUAUGUCAACUGUGUAAUUUUCCAUGCAUUAGCAUUUACUGACUUCCGAUACAGUACUGUACGUGACAUACGAAAACGGACAAUAUCAACACUUUUAAAGUGUCUACGUGAGUCCACACCACAGAGUGUUAAUUUGACUCUUUUUGAAAUGUUGAUAUGGUAACACUCCUGUGUUAUUAUUAACUUUUUUUUUUUAGUUAAAAUUGAACACUUCUAAACACUAACCAGUGUUCGUUUCUCUCAACAGUACUGUAUAGAGUUAGAGAUCAACUUCCUCAUAUUGUCAAUUGUUAACUACUACAGGUGUUUACCUCAUUCGUUCACUAGCGUCAGGGUGGAGAUCCAUAAAUAAUAAGUUGUGCGUGUGUGCCAGGUCAUGACACACACAUAUAAAACAGAGUUGUUCUUGGUUCUGGAGCAGAACCGUUCUUAGUCUGACCCUUCGCCUUGGACCGACCUGCCUUUGGAGACAGCAUAGUCCCUAGGGUCAUUAGGGCACUCAAACUCCUCCACCACGAUAAGGUGACGGUUCAAGGAGGACAAAAUACUAUAAUGGCCACUAAUGCCCUUCCACUGGAUACGCUGGGUGCUACACAGUUAGCAUGAGCUUGGUGUCUUCAGGAGGCUGAGACCUCCACCUGCAGCCACAGUGAGCUGAUCAUCUGGCUGUUGGAUUGAACAGACCAGAGUCAGCAGAGGAGGUUGGACCUUCCAGCCCAACCUCUAAACUGUUGGUGACUGAGAAACAGGUCCUAUAUGAAAACUCCUCCUGGUAAUUUCAUGAUGUCAUGAUGACAUCACCAGAAACAAGAACAACCAAGCUCAUUUAUUUUUGUUCCUGAUGAUGUCAUCAUGGCUUCGCUAUGACAUCACUGGGAACCGAUUAUGACAGCGAUGUCUGGAUGUCACAUUGUAUCUAUGCAAUUUCUCCAUUAGUUUGCACAAGUUCAUCGGUGUUUGUUGGCAGCAGAAAGAACAAUUUGAAGAAAAUGUAUGAGCUCAUGUCUUCAGCGGUCAAAUAAAUGCUGGAAAACCA